rnacentral:rRNA from 1 species
GACGAACGCUGGCGGCGUGCUUAACACAUGCAAGUCGAGCGGUAAGGCCCUUUCGGGGGUACACGAGCGGCGAACGGGUGAGUAACACGUGGGUGACCUGCCUCUAGCUCUGGGAUAAGCCCGGGAAACUGGGUCUAAUACUGGAUAUGACUCCAUGACGCAUGUUGUGGGGUGGAAAGCCUUGUGCGGCUAGAGAUGGGCCCGCGGCCUAUCAGCUUGUUGGUGGGGGAUGGCCUACCAAGGCGACGACGGGUAGCCGGCCUGAGAGGGCGACCGGCCACACUGGGACUGAGACACGGCCCAGACUCCUACGGGAGGCAGCAGUGGGGAAUCUUGCGCAAUGGGCGAAAGCCUGACGCAGCGACGCCGCGUGAGGGAUGACGGCCUGGUUGUAACGU